rnacentral:rRNA from 1 species
UUCGUUUGACGUUUAGCUGCAGAAGAAGCACCGGCUAACUCCGUGCCAGCAGCCGCGGUAAUACGGAGGGUGCGAGCGUUAAUCGGAAUUACUGGGCGUAAAGCGCAUGCAGGUGGUUUGUUAAGUUCAGAUGUGAAAGACCCGGGGCGUCAACCUCGGAAUUGCAUUUGAAACUGGCAGACUAGAGUACUGUAGAGGGGGGUAGGAAUUUCAGGUGUAGCGGUGAAAUGCGUAGAGAUCUGAAGGAAUACCGGUGGCGAAGGCGGCCCCCUCGGACAGAUACUGACACUCAGAUGCGAAAGCGUGGGGAGCAAACAGGAUUAGAUACCCCUGGUAG